rnacentral:ncRNA from 2 species
CGACCCUGCGUGGGAGAGUCCUCGGGGUGCGAGCACCUGCGAGGCGCCGAAGGGGCAACAUCCCCGGAACCUCUCAGGCGCCAGGACCAUGCGGGCGAG